rnacentral:rRNA from 1 species
AGAGUUUGAUCCUGGCUCAGGACGAACGCUGGCGGCGUGCCUAAUACAUGCAAGUCGAGCGAGCGGAACUAACAGAUUUACUUCUGUAAUGACGUUAGGAAAGCGAGCGGCGGAUGGGUGAGUAACACGUGGGGAACCUGCCCCAUAGUCUGGGAUACCACUUGGAAACAGGUGCUAAUACCGGAUAAGAAAGCAGAUCGCAUGAUCAGCUUUUAAAAGGCGGCGUAAGCUGUCGCUAUGGGAUGGCCCCGCGGUGCAUUAGCUAGUUGGUAAGGUAAAGGCUUACCAAGGCGAUGAUGCAUAGCCGAGUUGAGAGACUGAUCGGCCACAUUGGGACUGAGACACGGCCCAAACUCCUACGGGAGGCAGCAGUAGGGAAUCUUCCACAAUGGACGCAAGUCUGAUGGAGCAACGCCGCGCGAGUGAAGAAGGUUUUCGGAUCGUAAAGCUCUGUUGUUGGUGAAGAAGGAUAGAGGUAGUAACUGGCCUUUAUUUGACGGUAAUCAACCAGAAAGUCACGGCUAACUACGUGCCAGCAGCCGCGGUAAUACGUAGGUGGCAAGCGUUGUCCGGAUUUAUUGGGCGUAAAGCGAGCGCAGGCGGAAGAAUAAGUCUGAUGUGAAAGCCCUCGGCUUAACCGAGGAACUGCAUCGGAAACUGUUUUUCUUGAGUGCAGAAGAGGAGAGUGGAACUCCAUGUGUAGCGGUGGAAUGCGUAGAUACAUGGAAGAACACCAGUGGCGAAGGCGGCUCUCUGGUCUGCAACUGACGCUGAGGCUCGAAAGCAUGGGUAGCGAACAGGAUUAGAUACCCUGGUAGUCCAUGCCGUAAACGAUGAGUGCUAAGUGUUGGGAGGUUUCCGCCUCUCAGUGCUGCAGCUAACGCAUUAAGCACUCCGCCUGGGGAGUACGACCGCAAGGUUGAAACUCAAAGGAAUUGACGGGGGCCCGCACAAGCGGUGGAGCAUGUGGUUUAAUUCGAAGCAACGCGAAGAACCUUACCAGGUCUUGACAUCUAGUGCCAUUUGUAGAGAUACAAAGUUCCCUUCGGGGACGCUAAGACAGGUGGUGCAUGGCUGUCGUCAGCUCGUGUCGUGAGAUGUUGGGUUAAGUCCCGCAACGAGCGCAACCCUUGUUAUUAGUUGCCAGCAUUAAGUUGGGCACUCUAAUGAGACUGCCGGUGACAAACCGGAGGAAGGUGGGGAUGACGUCAAGUCAUCAUGCCCCUUAUGACCUGGGCUACACACGUGCUACAAUGGGCAGUACAACGAGAAGCGAGCCUGCGAAGGCAAGCGAAUCUCUGAAAGCUGUUCUCAGUUCGGACUGCAGUCUGCAACUCGACUGCACGAAGCUGGAAUCGCUAGUAAUCGCGGAUCAGCACGCCGCGGUGAAUACGUUCCCGGGCCUUGUACACACCGCCCGUCACACCAUGGGAGUCUGCAAUGCCCAAAGCCGGUGGCCUAACCUUCGGGAAGGAGCCGUCUAAGGCAGGGCAGAUGACUGGGGUGAAGUCGUAACAAGGUAGCCGUAGGAGAACCUGCGGCUGGAUCACCUCCUU